AAUAAUAAUAAUAAUCUACAGGUAAAUUAAAACAUGUGGAGUUAAAAAAUGAAAAAAGUUCCACGAAGGAAGAGCCACAAGAUGAGAAGGCUGGUGCAGUUGAUCAGAUCAAGAAGAAAUAUGGGUUUCCUAUAUCUGGUGAAUCAAGUGUCAUUAAAAUGGCAGAAAGCAAGCUGAACGAGAAUUUGAGGAAGUUGCAGGGUAUCAGCAUAAAAACGACAGAGAUGCAAGACACGGCUAAAUCAUUUUCAUUCAUGGCAAAGCAGGUCCUGCGAGCCGAACAAGAUAAGCAAAGCUCAUAAUCCUCCAUUGCCUUCAUACACAUGAAUUGGUUAUUAAUUACGCUUUGUGUUUGUGUGUGUUUUCAUUUUUUCAUUUAAUUUAUUUUGCAUGUAUAUUCAUCAUGCAUGUAAGUGGCAUAAAAUGUGUGGCAGCAUAAGCAGGUAUAUUUUGUAAAGGAUUGCUUUUGGUU